rnacentral:rRNA from 1 species
GACGUAGGGCGCGAGCGUUGUCCGGAUUUAUUGGGCGUAAAGAGCUCGUAGGCGGCUCGUUGCGUCGGCUGUGAAAACCCGCAGCUCAACUGUGGGCUUGCAGCUGAUACGGGCGGGCUGGGAUUCGGUAGGGGAGACUGGAAUUCCUGGUGUAGCGGUGAAAUGCGCAGAUAUCAGGAGGAACACCGGUGGCGAAGGCGGCUACCUGGACAGAAACUGACGCUGAGUGCGCGAAAGCUAGGGGAGCAAACAGG